CCGGCCUGCCGCUGCGCUGACACGCGCUCCAUGUCGGGCUGCAAGUGAGAUUUUCGUCAGAGGAGGCGGAGGGGUCAGUGGAUCUACCACAGGGAGGGUAAAUGCCUCCCGUGCAGCCGUGUCAGUCCCAGGCUAUUAGAGAGGCGAGCGCAAAAAGAAAGAUACUGCAUCAACAAAGAGCCCCAAAGAAAUCUGAUAUGACUAAUGCAAUUAAAUUUUACAUUGGUGCAGGCGCUUAACA